AGCCGUGCGGUGAGUAUAGGACGAAUUAUUCUUUCGCCUUUUACUAAAGAAUACGUGUGCUCUCCACUUCAAGCGACAUACGCCUAUUUUUGAAAGGGUUCGUUGAAUACCCCU